rnacentral:lncRNA from 1 species
AUUCUGAAAGUGCUUAGCCUGAGAGGCCCCACAUAAUCUUCACAGUUCAGCGGUCUCUGAAUUGUCACCAUGUAACCUUCUUGCCUGUUAUCUGUUUACUCUGGGGAUGACUCAUGACUAGUCACUAGCCCAGUAACUUUGUAACCUUUCCCCCGGAGAAUGUGUCUGGAUGUCACAGAUCUGUGCCACCUUCAGCUUUCUCUUUUCAGGGCUCAACUUGCUUCCAACAAUAUCACUAGUUUUUAUGAGUGUUAUGUGAAGCCGCAAUUAGACAACAUCUCCUCAUCUGCCCUAGCAUGCAGGAUGGGGUUCUGUCUUCUGCGUGGAGCAUGAUGGGUGAGAGGAAGCAGAGGCUGGAGAGAUGGAGGACCCACAGUUUGAAAGGAGAUGAACCCCACAGGACGCUUCCACAGAGUGAUGCUGGCCAGCCCACCUUGGACCACAGGAAGCUCCCUAAGAAAAAGGUUGGGUGAAUUGAGCAGAGAAACAGUUGUCUCAGCAGGGAAGAGCUCUCCUUCAGUUCUCCAUGAUCCAGAGAAUGAGGAUCUGUAUGAGGGGCUUUGAGAGAGAAAGAGCCCGUGAGGAUGAAGGCAUCUGCUAUAGUUAGAUGCAGACAAUCUCUGGGAGCCGUUUCUCGCGCGCGAGCAAAGUACCACAUCAGGAAUUCCAGACAUCUGACCUUAUCAGCGGUGCCCCUGCGCUCCUUGCCUGGAGUUGUCUGGACCCUGACAAACACUUCAAAGCCUACCACCCUUGCCUCUCCCGGAGUGAAGGAGGUUGUCUUGGUGUUCCAUCGCUGUGAAGAGACACGGUGGCCACGGCAGUGCUUAUAAAAGAAAGCAUUUAGUUCAGGCCUGCUUACCGUUUCAGAGGGAUUUAGUCCCUUUAUCCCCAUGACAGGGAACAUGGCGGCACGCAGCUGGAGAAGUAGCUAGUGUUCUUCAGCCAGUUCUGAGGGAGCGCGGCAGGAAGAGAAAGACCCUGGCCAGGGUCUAGCUUUUGAAACUUCAAUGACCCAUUCCCAGGGACAUUUCCUUCAAUAAGGCCACACCAACAAGGUCACGCCUUCUAUCUCUUCCCAGACGACUGUGUCACACAAUGCCUGCUCUCUGCCAGAACGUCAGAGGAGCAGGGGGUGACAGUGCAUGGAUCCCUGUGAGGAGAGAGCCAGCGUUCGCAGGCACUGACUGGGAGCCUGGGAGAUAGCUCAGUCAGUAUGGCCAUGAAGACAUGAAUUCCUUAUAACCCAGAAGAAAAUGCCAGGUGCAUGCUUAGAAUCCCACCGCCGGGGAGGAGGAAACUGAAGAUCCCUGGGAUAGCUGGCUGGUCAGCCUAGCUUCCUCAGUGAGCCCCAGGCUCAAUGCUUCCUGUGGCAAGCUCCCAGGGGCCCCACCUCAAGGGUGCCUCUUCCCCAUGACCACCUGUGACCUUCAAAAUGACAGCUGCCAAGGAUGCUGAAGAUGGUCAGCCUGGCUCAUCACCAACUCUGGAACUCAGCAGCUGCAUCAAUGUGGAUGGGGAAAAAAAAGUCUCGGUUACAUUGAUCUUUGCCAGUGUCUCCUUCAGCAACAUACAUCGCCACAACCACAUCUCCAGUGGUCUCUGGGAACAUCAUCACUAUUUUCAGAUCUGUGACAGUUGUGUCAGGUGGUUGAAAAUGUCAUUAAACCCAUUACUGCUUCAAAAUUACAGUCAUUAUUGAAACCUGCUCCUAGACCUUGUUAUUUAGUCUGUUAAUAAACAAGGAUUCCUAGAAC